rnacentral:rRNA from 1 species
CCGUGAGGGAAAGAUGAAAAGCACUUUGGAAAGAGAGUUAACAGUACGUGAAAUUGUUGGAAGGGAAACGCUUGAAGUCAGACUUGCUAUUCGGAAUUCAGCCGCAAGGUGUACUUUUCAAUUCGCAGGCCAGCAUCAGUUUUUGGGGGUGGAAAAGGGUAGAGAGAAGGUAGCAGCCUUGGCUGUGUUAUAGCUCUUUGCUGGAUUCAUCCUUGGGGACUGAGGAACGCAGCACGCUUUUUGCAAGGCUUUCGAGCUUUUCGUGCUUAGGAUGCUGGUGGAAUGGCUUUAAACGACCCGUCUUGAAACACGGACCAAGGAGUCUAACAUGCUUGCGAGUGUUUGGGUGUCAAACCCGGACGCGCAAUGAAAGUGAAUGGAGGUGGGAAGCGCCAGCUGCACCAUCGACCGAUCCGGAUUUUUUAAGAUGGAUUUGAGUAAGAGCAAUUAUGUUGGGACCCGAAAGAUAGUGAACUAUGCCUGAAUAGGGCGAAGCCAGAGGAAACUCUGGUGGAGGCUCGUAGCGGUUCUGACGUGCAAAUCGAUCGUCAAAUUUGGGUAUAGGGGCGAGAGACUAAUCGAACUAUCUAGUAGCUGGUU